rnacentral:sRNA from 1 species
AUGGUAAUAGUCACACUACGCAGACCCCAGAGCCCAUGCUUCUGGGACAGGCAGGUGUCCCUGAAACUGUGUUCCUUCUGUUUUCCUUCUGGUGUCCUCCAUGGCCCAGCCUGUGGGAGGGGCAGGCACCAGGAAGGUGAGGGUGCUAUGUGCUCAUGCCCCUCUUCUGCCGGCCCCACUUUUGUUUCCGCCAGUGUUUUCUAUACUGUGACCCUUUGCCCUUACCUAGGAUCAUUCUGUGUCCAUCUUAGAUCUUCGCCUUAUUUGUGGGAGUCUUGCAAGGUUGGGAGCCUUGUCUCCCUUGUUAGACUGGAAGUUUCUCAUGGGGGAGAAUUCUAAAAUGGGAUAAGAAAAAAAUAUGUUCUACAGGACUUUCAAGGGGGUAAUUGGGAUAAUGUAUUUAAUGCUCUCCGUAGUAGGUACUCAAAAAAUAUUAGCUAUACCAUGAGGUUUAUAGCUUCUAAAGAGCACAGAAUAUGUUUUCCUUUUCUCUCCAGAGUGCCUAGGGCAGAGCUGUGCAAGGGCCUGGUAUGACGUUGUGGCAAUCUCAUUCCCCCUUUCAGGUAUAUAAUGUUGACUCCAAAACCUAUAAUGCCUCAGUGCUGCCAGUGAGAGUCGAGGUGGACAUGGUGCGAGUGAUGGAGGUGUUCCUGGCACAGUUGCGGUGAGGUCCUGGAUGAUCCACUUGGGGACAUAGUCUCCUUGGGUGUAGAGGGGAAUUGCAAAGUGGAAUCAAGUCUUACCUGGCAGGGAUAUCUUGGCCUUGCCUAGAGCCCCAGGGAAACCAAGAAAAGUUUCUAAGGAUCCCAUCAUCCUUCUAAGAAGGACUAGUAGGUGACAAAAUCAUUUUUUUUUUUUUUUGAGACGGAGUCUUGCUCUGUUGCCCAGGCCGGAGUGCAGUGAUGCCAUUUUGGCUCACUGCAACCUCCACCUCCCGGGUUCAAGCAAUUCUCUGCCUCAGCCUCCUGAGUAGCUGGGACUACAGGCACCCGCCACCACACCUGGCUAAUUUUUUGUAAUUUUAGUAGAAACGGGGUUUCACCAUCUUGGCCAGGCUGGUCUUGAACUCCUGACCUCAUGAUCCACCCGCUUAGGCCUCCCAAAGUGCUGGGAUUACAGGCGUGAGCCACUGUGCCCAGCCAGCAAAACCAGUUUUAAGAAAAAUAGACUCAUGAAUGUCAGGUCCAUGGAGUGUGAUUAGGGCUGCUUAAGAAAAUAGCUGUUAAUUCUUACGCUGCCUGAUGGAUUGAGAGUGGCUGCCUGAGGCUCUGUGUUGAGGAUUCUAAGGCUGUAUCUGGGCUCAUUAGGAAAGAGUAUUCUUCUGAUUGACUAGCAGUGUCUCUCACGGAUGCAGGCUUAGAGAAGCACAGCACAUGUGCCUUGGCAAAGGCAGUCCUGGAUCAUCCCUUAAUGCUAAGUCCCAUUGGCCCCAUUUGUUCAAAGAGAGGGUAGAAAAGGUGAAAGGAUUAAACUGAGUUGGUGUUAUCAGAAGUAUUUUAGCCAUGGAACCUUUUUUUAAAAAACAAGAUCUUGGAAAUCUAAUGUAAAAACAGGUAAAAGCAGAAACACCUGUUGCAGCAGCGUUUGGGGCCAACUUGUUUGGUGUUGCCCCUUAUGCCCCCAAGACCCUGAGGUACUUCCCUUUAACCCCUAUGGUUCUGGGUAAGAUUGAAAAUCACUGGCUCAGGACAGAUAUUUGAGAAAUCUUAGCCAUGAUCUCCCGCCUUGUGGUCUCAGCCACCUUGAUCUUACUCCGAUGUUCCUACAGGUUGCUCUUUGGGAUUGCUCAGCCCCAGGUGCCUCCAAAAUGCCUGCUUUCAGGGCCUACGAGUGAAGGGCUAAUGACCUGGGAGCUAGACCGGCUGCUCUGGGCUCGGUCAGUGGAGAACCUGGCCACAGCCACCACCACCCUUACCUCCCUGGCGCAGCUUCUGGGCAAGAUCAGCAACAUUGUCAUUAAGGACGACGUGGCAUCUGAGGUAUACAAGGCUGUAGCUGCCGUCCAGAAGUCGGCAGAAGAGUUGGCCUCUGGGCACCUGGCAUCUGCCUUUGUCGCCAGCCAGGAAGCUGUGACAUCCUCUGAGCUUGCCUUCUUUGACCCGUCACUCCUCCACCUCCUUUAUUUCCCUGAUGACCAGAAGUUUGCCAUCUACAUCCCACUCUUCCUGCCUAUGGCUGUGCCCAUCCUCCUGUCCCUGGUCAAGAUCUUCCUGGAGACCCACAAGUCCUGGAGAAAGCCUGAGAAGACAGACUGAGCAGGGCAGCACCUCCAUAGGAAGCCUUCCUUUCUGGCCAAGGUGGGCGGUGUUAGAUUGAGAGGCACGUACAUGGGGCCUGCCGGAAUGACUUAAAUAUUUGUCUCCAGUCUCCACUGUUGGCUCUCCAGCAACCAAAGUACAACACUCCAAGAUGGGUUCAUCUUUUCUUCCUUUCCCAUUCACCUGGCUCAAUCCUCCUCCACCACCAGGGGCCUCAAAAGGCACAUCAUCCGGGUCUCCUUAUCUUGUUUGAUAAGGCUGCUGCCUAUCUCCCUCUGUGGCAAGGACUGUUUGUUCUUUUGCCCCAUUUCUCAACAUAGCACACUUGUGCACUGAGAGGAGGGAGCAUUAUGGGAAAGUCCCUCCCUUCCACACCUCUCUCUAGUCCCUGUGGGACAGCCCUAGCCCCUGCUGUCAUGAAGGGGCCAGGCAUUGGUCACCUGUGGGACCUUCUCCCUCACUCCCCUCCCUCCUAGUUGGCUUUGUCUGUCAGGUACAGUCUGGCGGGAGUCCAGGAGGCAGCAGCUCAGGACAUGGUGUUUUUUUGUGUGUGUGUGUGUGUGUGUGUGUGUGUGUGUGUGUGUGUGUGAGAGAGGUUCCAGAAAGUUCCAGAUUUGGAAUCAAACAGUCCUGAAUUCAAAUCCUUGUUUUUGCACUUAUUGUCUGGAGAGCUUUGGAUAAGGUAUUGAAUCUCUCUGAGCCUCAGUUUUUCAUUUGUUCAAAUGGCACUGAUGAUGUCUCCCUUACAAGAUGGUUGUGAGGAUUAAAUGUGAUCAGCAUGUAAAGUGUCUGGCGUAUAGUAGGCUCUUAAUAAAUACUGACUGAAUAUGAAUUGGAAUGAUA